AGGAGCUGGAGAUUGGAUGUUCAAAAUAAUACAAGAUCGUUGGCAGAAAACACUAAAACAUCCACUUCAUGCAGCAGCAUACUUCUUGAAUCCAAGAUUUCAAUAUAGGCGUGGAGUUGGUAGUGAUCCGGAACUACUUCAAGCUGUCCAUGAUGUUUUUGCAAAAUUAGAUCCAACUACUGAAUCGCUUGGUCAAUUUGGAAAUGAGCUUGUACUUUUUCGAGAUGCAAAAAGAGGAUUCGGUGAUCGAGCAGCAAU